CACAUGAAUGUUGCAAUAAGAAUCCUGAGAUACUUAAAAUGAUCGAUAAACUAUGGAAUUUUAUUUCGACGAGACUCUGAAAGCAAAGAAUCUAUGGUUACUUGUUAUUCAGAUGUUGAUUCGUAUCGAGAUAAAGAAGAUCGAAGAUGUACUACUGGAUAUUUCUUUCAAGUAUUCGGUGGCCUAAUCUCAUGUGCUCGAGAAAGUAACAUGUGGUACUGUCAUACCCUAAAAAUCACCCUACCCCGAUACAAUUUCCAUAUGAUCCAUGACCCUACUGCACAUGCAUACGUUCAUUAUUAAAAAAAAUUAAAAAAAAAAUUAAAAAAAAAUUAAAAAAAAAAACUGGGUAACCGGUUACACAGACCAAAAACUGACAUUUGGCCAUUUUGGGAUUGUGUAACCGAUUACCCUAAUUAGGGUAACCGAUUACACCUGCGUAGACAGCAGAAAUAACUCUUUUUUUUACC
rnacentral:lncRNA from 1 species